AGUGAACGCUGGCGGUAGGCCUAACACAUGCAAGUCGAACGGCAGCACAGUAAGAGCUUGCUCUUACGGGUGGCGAGUGGCGGACGGGUGAGGAAUACAUCGGAAUCUACUUUUUCGUGGGGGAUAACGUAGGGAAACUUACGCUAAUACCGCAUACGACCUACGGGUGAAAGCAGGGGAUCUUCGGACCUUGCGCGAUUGAAUGAGCCGAUGUCGGAUUAGCUAGUUGGCGGGGUAAAGGCCCACCAAGGCGACGAUCCGUAGCUGGUCUGAGAGGAUGAUCAGCCACACGGGAACUGAGACGCGGUCCAGACUCCUACGGGAGGCAGCAGUGGGGAAUAUUGGACAAGGGGCGCAAGCCUGAUCCAGCCAUACCGCGUGGGUGAAGAAGGCCUUCGGGUUGUAAAGCCCUUUUGUUGGGAAGAAAAGCAGCAGGUUAAUACCCCGCUGUUCUGACGGUACCCAAAGAAUAAGCACCGGCUAACUUCGUG
rnacentral:rRNA from 1 species